CCUACGGGAGGCAGCAGUGAGGAAUAUUGGUCAAUGGGCGAGAGCCUGAACCAGCCAAGUCGCGUGAAGGAUGACGGCCCUACGGGUUGUAAACUUCUUUUGUCAGGGAGCAAUUGGGUCCACGCGUGGGCUUAGCGAGAGUACCUGAAGAAAAAGCAUGGGCUAACUCCGUGCCAGCAGCCGCGGUAAUACGGAGGAUGCGGGCGUUAUCCGGUUUUAUUGGGUUUAAAGGGUGCGUAGGCGGAAUAUCAAGUCAGCGGUAAAAAUUCGGGGCUAAACCCCGUCGUGCCGUUGAAACUGAUGUUCUGGAGUGGGCGAGAAGUAUGCGGAAUGCGUGGUGUAGCGGUGAAAUGCAUAGAUAUCACGCAGAACUCCGAUUGCGAAGGCAGCAUACCGGCGCCCAACUGACGCUGAAGCACGAAAGCGUGGGUAUCGAACAGGAUUAGAUACCCCAGUAGUC
rnacentral:rRNA from 1 species